AACGAACGCUGGCGGCAGGCCUAACACAUGCAAGUCGAACGCCGACGCACCUUCGGGUGUUUAGGAGUGGCAGACGGGUGAGUAACGCGUGGGAACCUACCUUUAGGUACGGAAUAACGCAGGGAAACUUGUGCUAAUACCGUAUGAUCCCUUCGGGGCAAAGAUUUAUCGCCUAAAGAUGGGCCCGCGUUAGAUUAGCUAGUUGGUGAGGUAAUGGCUCACCAAGGCGACGAUCUAUAGCUGGUUUGAGAGGAUGAUCAGCCACACUGGAACUGAGACACGGUCCAG
rnacentral:rRNA from 1 species